GUGCCGGUGGCUCAACGGUAGAGCGCCGCGUUGAAGCCGCGGAGAUCGUGGUUCAAGUCCACGCCGGCACACCA
rnacentral:tRNA from 1 species